rnacentral:rRNA from 1 species
UACGGGGGGGGCAAGCGUUGUUCGGAAUUACUGGGCGUAAAGGGCUCGUAGGCGGCCAACUAAGUCAGACGUGAAAUCCCUCGGCUUAACCGGGGAACUGCGUCUGAUACUGGAUGGCUUGAGUUUGGGAGAGGGAUGCGGAAUUCCAGGUGUAGCGGUGAAAUGCGUAGAUAUCUGGAGGAACACCUGUGGCGAAAGCGGCGCACUGGACCACAACUGACGCUGAGGCGCGAAAGCUAGGGGAGCAAACAGG